rnacentral:piRNA from 1 species
CAGGUGUCCCAGGGUGCUCUGUGCCAGU